rnacentral:rRNA from 1 species
UAGGGAAUAUUGCACAAUGGGCGAAAGCCUGAUGCAGCAACGCCGCGUGCGCGAUGAAGGCCUUCGGGUCGUAAAGCGCUUUUCGGGGAGAUGAGGAAGGACAGUAUCCCCGGAAUAAGUCUCGGCUAACUACGUGCCAGCAGCCGCGGUAACACGUAGGAGGCAAGCGUUAUCCGAAUUUACUGGGCGUAAAGCGCGUGCAGGCGGUUCGGUAAGUUGGAUGUGAAAUCUCCUGGCUCAACUGGGAGAGGUCGUUCAAUACUGUCGGACUAGAGGAUGGUAGAGGGAGGUGGAAUUCCCGGUGUAGUGGUGAAAUGCGUAGAUAUCGGGAGGAACACCAGUGGCGAAAGCGGCCUCCUGGACCAUUCCUGACGCUCAGACGCGAAAGCUAGGGGAGCGAACGG